rnacentral:tRNA from 1 species
GCCUGUGUACCUCACUGAGUAGAGCAUCAGACCUUAAAUCUGAGGGUGGAGGGUUCAAGUCCCUAUUCAGGCG